rnacentral:rRNA from 1 species
GAGGUCAUAAUCUUUUUCUUUUAUAAGAACUUUAAGAAAAAAUUGUGCUGUUAUCCCUACGGUAACUUGUUUGAAUCUCAGGUUGAGGAUAGAGAAGGACGAAAGAAAAAGAUUUGGUUUUUUACCGCCCCAGUUCAACAAAGGUAAAGUUCGAUAGGGUCUUGUCGUCCUUCUUUGUUAUACAAGUCUUUUUACUUGAAAGAAAAAUUAAAAUAGUUCGGGUAAUAAAGAAAUUUAUAUGUCAAACCUUUCAUACUGGCCUUCAAUUGAAAGGCAAAUGAUUACGCUACCUUAGCACAAGAAAAUUGCGGCUAUUGAAAAGAUCAUUGAGCAGGUCCUACUGAAUAUUAGAUCAUUCAGAAAUGUUUUUGAUAAACAGACAAUAAAUAUAGGGCCGAGUUCAUGAACCUGAAUGUAAAUUCUUAAAAAAGAGUAAGUCAACAAAAGAAAGUCAAAUAAAUUUUACUAAUAAAAUCAUUGUGGAGAUUGUUAGGAAGGUUUCUUUUAAUGAAAUUAUUUAGAAGAGAUAGGAAAGUUUUUAAACUUAUAGGAUACUAUUAGUCCUAGUGUUUGGGAAAAAAUAAAUGACUAAUUUUUAAAAAAGUUUGUCCCUUACUAAAUUUUGGUAUUAUUACCUUCAAAGAGAACCAGAUAUUAUAGAAUGCGGAUGAAAUUUCAUCUCUAUAUUUACUUUAGAAAACUUUAUGAAACAAGCUUGAUAAGAAAAAAUAGAUCAUUUCAAUUUCGGGAGUGUUUACUGAAAAAAAUAGAUUGAUUUUCCCUGAUACUAAAGGUACAUUAUUUUUCUGUCCAACAAUUGAAAAGUCUCCCCUCACGGUAAAAUAAAGUUAAGGAAAAAACAUGAAGAAUAAAAUAUUAAUUUAGAUAAGAAUUUUAAGAAGAGAU